rnacentral:rRNA from 1 species
GAUGAACGCUGGCGGCGUGCUUAACACAUGCAAGUCGAACGAGAAGUGGAGACGGAAACCUUCGGGCGGAAGACUUUAUUUCGAGUGGCGGACGGGUGAGUAACGCGUGGGUAACCUGCCUCAUACAGGGGGAUAACAGUUGGAAACGACUGUUAAUACCGCAUAAGACCACAGCACCGCAUGGUGCGGGGGUAAAAACUCCGGUGGUAUGAGAUGGACCCGCGUUCGAUUAGCCAGUUGACGGGGUAACGGCCCACCAAAGCGACGAUCGAUAGCCGAUCUGAGAGGAUGACCGGCCACAUUGGGACUGAGACACGGCCCAAACUCCUACGGGAGGCAGCAGUGGGGAAUAUUGCACAAUGGGGGAAACCCUGAUGCAGCGACGCCGCGUGAGUGAAGAAGUAUUUCGGUAUGUAAAGCUCUAUCAGCAGGGAAGAAAAUGACGGUACCUGAGGAAGAAGCCCCGGCUAACUACGUG